UACGUAGGGUGCGAGCGUUGUCCGGAAUUACUGGGCGUAAAGAGCUCGUAGGUGGUUUGUCGCGUUGUCCGUGAAAACUCACAACUCAAUUGUGGGCGUGCGGGCGAUACGGGCAGACUGGAGUACUGCAGGGGAGACUGGAAUUCCUGGUGUAGCGGUGGAAUGCGCAGAUAUCAGGAGGAACACCGGUGGCGAAGGCAGCUCGCUGGGACGGUACUGACGCUAAGGCGCGAAAGCGUGGGGAGCGAACAGG
rnacentral:rRNA from 1 species